rnacentral:lncRNA from 1 species
UACCCUAUUAAAAGCAUGCUUGUAUAUGUAUAGUUAUAUAAGUAAUGUUUAAAGGACUUAGAAAGGCUAACCCGCUCUAUUUCCUUUUCCUCGUUGGGAUGUGGUCUGGUGGGUGUUGGGUAUCCGUCCGAAGGUCGUUUAGAUAUUUAGUUAUAUAUCAUGUGUACAUAUAUGGACAUAAUAGUUCCUUUCAGUCAGUUCAGUACCUUUAAGUAGCAAAGGUAUACGUUCAUAUAUCUCUAGUUGGAUACUUUUACAUGGAUACCGUUACGUAUAUACUAUAUGAUGAGUUACUAUUACAUAUUAUAUGUAUAGAUACUGUCAUAUAAUUCUCCUGCUUAUCUUUAUUUUGUGAUACAAUCACAUAAUCGACGAGAUAGAUUGGACUUAAUAUCCUAGUACCAAAGGAUACUUUGUGAGACUAACCUUUCCUAGAAUCUCUAUUAGCUACAGAGGUAAAUGCACAUCCACGGAUGUCUACGGUUGAUACGAGUAUAAGUAUACUUUAAGGGACUAAUUAUUCCUACACCCAUUUGUUAGCUACAGAGGUAAAUGUACAUCUACGGAUGUCUUCAGUUAACACUGUUAGUUAUCCUAGUACAAAAGGACAAUACUUAAGCUAUUUAUAUUAUUACCUUUGUCUUGUGACACAUUCACAUAACCGAUGAGAUGAAUUAUAUUUGAGUAUCCUAGUACCUAAGGAUAAAAUUUCUUAUAUUAAUAAUAAUAGUAGUACAGUCGAGUCUUGGUAAAAGGCUACUUUCAAAUCAGUCGGGUCUUGGUAGAAGGCUACUUUCAAAAUAGUCAGGUCUUGGUAGAAGACUACUUUCAAAACAGUCGGGUCUUGGUAGAAGACUACUUUCAAAACAAAUGGGUCUUGGUAGAAGACUACUCUCAAAAUAGUUAGGUCUUGGUAGAAGACUUCCUUUUAUACUAAAAGGAAUCAUAGGGAUUUCUAGGAUUUUUCAAACGUUUACAGUUGUUUUACAAACAUUUUUAUACUUAUACGAACUUUCUUUCAAAACCAUUUCGAGUCUUUCAUUACAAGUUUUGCAAAUCAAAGACACAUUAAUACUUAUGAAUUCACCAGCUUUUUGGCUGAUACUCGCUUUCAAAAUAACAUGUAUUCUAAGGUCACAAAUAGACAGGUAUGACGACCAGGUUUUGUGAAGAUGGAGCAGUUCAGACUCGUCUUUUAUUUUGAUUAUUCAUUAUGUUGUCUUAUACUAUGAAAGAACACACUUGUAAUUACAAUUAUACUAUUAAUGAAAUGGAUGAUGUUGUUGCUUGUUUACUACUUUACAUUGUUGUAAUACAUUACAUGACGUUCUCCGCCCGAGAACGCUUCCGCCGUUCUUGGUUUUGGGGUGUGACAGAUUGGUAUCAGAGCACUGUUUAUAGUGAAUUAAGUAUAUCAACCCAUAAAAGAUAUACUAACUUUAAAUACAAUGGGAUUAAAAAUACUCUAACCAUGAGUUUAUACUUUAAAUAAUAAAAUAUUUGAUUGAGUGUACGUGCCUGCAUUCAUACUAAAAUCCGUGUCAUAAUGACAAGAACAAAAGUAUUACGGUUGUUGAAUAUCACAAGUAAGCUUGGGGAUGUAUGGUUAGUCUUGGGAGUGGCAUAGCCUGAUCAACUAUGCUGGUCCGAAGAGUGAUUAGCAUAUGCCCAAGAAUGGUUGUGAUGUGGCAACAAGUCUAAAAACUUACCAACACUACCACAAUGAAAUACCGUAGGGGUAUUUGAUGUUACUAUAAGUACUUUAUACUUGAGAACUAAAGAAAAAGAGGAUCUUCGUUACUAGGUCAAUAGUUGCUAAGUGGAUACAUUAAGGUUAUAUGUAACCAGGAUGAUAUAGACUCCGAAUCUGUGAAAUUUUGCUUUACUCCUAUUCCUUGUGAAUUUGGAGUUAAGGUCACUUAUUCGAAGGCCUAUCCUGUUUAAUUACAUAUAAUCGGUAUGCACUUUACAAAUAGUGAUGUAACUAAUAAAGAUCUUCUUAUAAUUAUCUAGUUAGUUCGUCUAGAUAACUACUUCUUGACCCCAAUUCUCGCCUAGAUAACCUGGCUGGACUCCAUCCCCACGACAACCAGUACCUUCCGAAUGAUGGAUGGGGUAGAGAAGAACCCGAGAAUGAUCAUCCAAUCCCUUUGAAUGAUCACCAUGCUGAAGACCUUUCGGAUGAUGAUAACUCCGAACCCGAAGUUGAGAACCUACCCCCGGUAGCUCCCAUUCCAAAUCCUAACCUUCGUUCGACUUUUUCAUGGCCCGACGCCCCCUUGAGUAUAAGGUUUGGACACAUGGAGCGAAAAGCAAGAUCAACCUAGGCCGUUUAAUAGAGACCUAAGCUUCUACAACCAUAAGCGAAGGGAGCUCAGCAGACAGAAUUCUACCAAUCCUAGUCCGUAGAGUUGCCCAAAAUGAGAUUCAGGGCAGGACAGCUCUCCAUCACAUCGCAGAGGUUGAUGCCAACGCAGGUGUGACAACCCCAAAUCUAAUUCCGUUAAAAAUCCCAUUUUCACUAACGGAAAGCGUCACUAUACGUUAUUUUACGUAAUAUUUGGAAUCGUCAAUAUCCGAAUAUCUAAAUUUAAGCAUGGUUUGAUAUUAUUAUAAGUAAUAUGUCUCAUAGGUGUUAACCCCGUUUAACCUAAUAGAGUGGUUUUACCUUCUCAACCACUUCACCGGGUAAAAAGUUUUAACCCAGUUAACUUUAAACAUCGGGUAGCCGUGUAUCGGGCACGAUUCUCGAGACAUAUGCAAUGGUGUUCCCAACAUUUGAACACUCAUUCACUACACACCCACUCUCUCUCUCUCUACUUUCUCUCUCUAGACUCAAAAACGACCCCGAUUCCGCUAAUUUCCGACUUCCAAACGUAAGUACUCAUCCCCUAUCUUAUUCUAGACAUGCUUCAUUGAAUUUGUGGGCCAAAAACCAUAGGAAUCAAGAUUUAAAGAGGAGUUUACGGCCUAAGAAGCUCCUUAGGCCGUAAACCCCCAAAUCCAAGCCAAAGACCAAGUUUUUCCUUCUUGUAUGCUAGUAUACUAAUUAAGGCUUAUAACUAGAAGAGUUUGGACCUUAAAACACAAGAGAAUGAUGCUUAAAAAGGAGUUUACGGCCCAAGCAUGUGCUUAGGCCGUAAACACCUCAGACACCCCACAAAUCCAUGUUUUAAGCCCCAAAAACACUUCUAGGAUGUUUGGAAAAUUAGACUUGACAACAAGGAAGGCUUGAAAGCAUUAAACAACAUCAUUUGAACACAAAAAGAGGAGUUUACGGCCAAGGCUAAGCUUGGGCCGUAAACACCCAAGAAAUUGUGUCAAACAAGUCCCUAAACUACCCUAAUGCAUGAAAGGAAUUAAUCUAAGGCCUAUGGAAGUGUGUUGUACCAUUAAACACUUCAUUUUGACACCAAAUGAAGAGUUUACGGCCAAGGAUGUUCUUGGGCCGUAAACUCCCCAUAAAUAUGUGCCAAAUUGCUCCAAACUCACUAUAGGACCUUCUAGGAUUUUUCUAAGCCAUUUGGGACCAUGUUGUACAAGUAAAACCAUCACCUUAAAGGACUUAUAGGAGUUUACGGCCCAAGAACAAGUCUUGGCCGUAAACUCCCCUAAAAUAUCACAAAUUUAGAUGUUUAAUCCUUCCCUCUUGGUCCAAAACACACACUUUGGAGUGUCACAAGAGUUUACGGCCAAGCCUAGGGGGGCUUACGGCCGUAAACUCCCAAUGAAUGGCUUUUAGGCCAUAAACUCUAAGAGAAUAAACUCUAGGACCCUCCCGUAAAUCAUCCAUGGACUUAUACCACUCCCGGGAACCCUUUCUAGGCCUUAAAACCCCGAAAACGACACUAGAAUGUCCAAAUACUAUAAUGAGAAGCAUAAGAUGAUUAACUUCUUGUAAAAUACAUAUUUCAUAUGCCAUUAGGGUCCUAAAAGGUGCUCAAGUGGUUAUUUGGUACCAAACGCUCAAUCGACACUAUUACCCGAUUUACCCGAUUCACCCGAUUUCCGCGAUUUCAGGUGAGUUCAUACCCCUUUAAUGAACCUUUCAAGUGUUUUACAUGUUUUAGGGGGGAGAUACAAGUUGCUUAUAAAUGUUUAUGCAAAGUUUUACAGAACGAUUUCCGAGUUACAAGGAUUAAUCGCAUGUGAUUCACUACUCUUAGUUCAAAUCACAUGUGAUUUGCCCCUAUGCCUUAAAAACGGGUUUUACCCUUUUCAAACUAUUUUUAAACAGUGAAUCAGAAUUCAAAUGUUCUUUUGGAAAAAUACUUUUAUUAAAUCAAUUUGCUUAUAAAAUGUAACCACUCUGAUAUAUUUAUAUAAAUAAGAUUUGGAGGACUUAGGACCGAUAUCUCGCCUUAUUUCCUGUUCUUGUUUGAUUGUGGGCUUAGGGUAGUAGUUAUCCGUCCGACUGUCGUUGAUUUCUUACUUAUAUAAAAUCUGUAUAUCAGUAUGGGAUACGAAUAUUUCUGCUUCCACUUAAUGCUAAAGUCACUAACGUGCUAAGAAACAUCCCCACUAAGAUAACCAUAAUAGGUAUGGUUAGGGUCGCUACCGCUACUACUCGCUAAAGUUAUUACUAUCUACACUAUAAUACUCACUAUUACUAGACGAUACACUAGUAAGAGAAUACACUAUGAUCAAUACUAAAAGAUUACUACACUAUGACCAUAGAGAAAACAUUAAACAAACAAUAAUACACUAACCCGCUACGAGAUACUCUAUUCGCUAUUCACUACGCCCAGAGUGUUCCAGCAGGAGACGACUCUACAUGUAUAGAUCUAUACGGGGCAAACGCUAUUACAUCCCGACUGUUAACUCAGUCCGCGCCGUACAGGCCCAGGGAUGCCACUACUUCACUACACUGUGCAUGACCGGGAAGGUCAUGGGAUUCUCUAUUAUUCUCACUAUUGGUAAAUUACAAGGAAUACCCUACAACUACACUAAAACACUACACUAAAUGUUAAACCACAUCCCGAAGUAAGCAAGUAUCUAUCACUAAAGGAAGCUCGUACCUCUAUCAUGGAUCACGGGCUUAACUUAUCUUGACAUAUUUGUUAUUUGAAGAUUGGCCAAAGAAUCUUUGCAAUAAAUUGUUUUCAAAGAGAUAAAGAAUGUACACUUUUCACAGAUUGUCACUUACAAUGUAUUUCCUGGAAAAUAUGAGAUUUUCUGAAUUUCUACUACUUAUGAACAUAAAGGAUACAUUUUUAAUACUAAUGCUUUGUAUACAAAAACUCACACUAAACUCUUAUGAACUCACCAGCUUUAUGCUGAUAAUUGUUUUCAAAAUAACUUGUAUCUUCAGGUCAAAGAUAGACAGGUACAGACGCAGCAUUUUUGGAGAAGGUGGAGCACACAAGACCCAUCUCUUAUUUUCGAAUUACUUUUGAGUGAUUGUUAAACAUUACAAAACACGCAUGUAAUUAAAUUCACUAUGUAAUACUAUGGUUGUUUGAUUCUUGUUUCUACUAUUAUACAAUUGUGAUGAUACUGUUCACUACGUCAUCCACCCCGAAACGUAUUCCGCCGUUAUCGGUUUUGGGGUGUGACAGAUUGGUAUCAGAGCAUUGUUUAUAGUGAAUCAAGUAUAUCAACCUAUAAAAGAUAUACGAACUAUAAACACUUCGGGACUAAAACACUCUGACCAAAAAUAUAUACUGUUAAGUAUCUAAAAGAUCUAACUAAGUAUAUAUAUACACACAUCACUAUGAAACACAGGAAUCAGUAUCAUCCUAGAACAAAACAAAAGUAUUAAGAUUGUUGGGCAGCACAAUUGGGUUUAGAGACAUAUAGUCACAUUCAGGAUGAUGUAGCCUGAUCAACUACGUUUUCCUGAGGGUGACUAGCAUGUGCCUAAGUUCGGUUGUGAUGUUGCAACAAGUCUAAAACUUACCAACAAUACCACAAUAACGCUAACAUAAGAAUACUAUAGGAGUAUUCUGUAUCUCUAGAUUAUACGUAUGUGUUAACAACAAGGGUCGUUACUAGUAGGACAAUAGUUGCUAAGUGGAUACACCACGAUUACAUGUGAUUGGGGCGCUAUAGACUCAGAAUCUGCAGCCUUUGCUUCAUUCCCUGUUCUUGUUUGAUUGGGGGUCUGAAGUUAGGGUGGUUUAUUCGAAGGACUAUCUUGCUUCGGUUACAUGUAAUCGGUAUGCACUAUGCAAGUAUUGGGUCAACUGGUAAUGAUUCCUCCUAUAAGUAUCUUAGAAUAGUACGUCUAUUAAUCUUCUUUCCCCCUUCUCGCGUAGAUAGCAUGGCUGGCUUCCACCUACCCGGUGAUCCGUACUUUCCGAACCAGGGCAAUGGAGGAUGGCUCGAAGAGGAGUCAGACGACGAUCACCCUAUUCCUUUGGAUGAUCAUCAUGCCGAAGGUUUCUCGGAUAGCUCGAGCUCCGAGCCAGAAGUCAACAACCAACCUCCUGAAGCCCCGAACCCUAACCCCCGACCGGCAUUUCAGGGCCCCACUCCUAUGUGGGCAAUAUCCUUGCGUCGAUGGAGCGAGGAGCAGGGUCAGCCCUUGCCUUACAAUGGAGACCGAAGUUUCUACAACAUAAGCGAAGGAGGAUCAGCAGAUCGGGUUCUGCCCAUCAUGAUCCGAAGGAUUGCCAGGAAUGUUGAACAAGGUCAAGCAGCUAUUGGCCGAGUUGUAGAAGUGGAUGCCAACUCAAACCUCAACACUGUUCGCAUCCGCCAACUCGAAGAAGCCAUGGACAGGACAAGGAGGACCAACGAGGCUCUGCAGCAUCAGCUGGCAGCAUCCCGAGCUGAAGUUAGGGAACUCCGAGCACGCCAAAGGACUCAUGAUCGACACCUUCAAGAAGUUAUGCGUCAACUAGAGGAUCUGAGGAUUCGCCCGACAAGCAGCCGUCGCCAGUAGAAGACAUCUAGUUACCUCACUCUUUUGUUUAAAGGACUAGCCUUUUAUCUCUAUGUUCCGUAGGUCUUUUGUCUGUAAACAUUCCUAGUUUAAAAGUACUCUAGCUGAACCUCUAAACUGCCAACAUUUUCUCUAUGGUAUGAUGUAAGACCUACUGCUAGGUCAAUUUUCAUGAACUUGUGUUGCAUCAUUAAUACCAGUAUAUUGGCAGAUGAUUUCUCUAUUGCUAUAACUCUUACCCUGAUCUUGGAUUAUGUUGAUUUAAUCCAUGAGACACACUAUUCAUAUUCGCAAUAGGCUCUUACUAUUGCUAUCAUUUCUAUGAUCUUCCAGUGAAGGAUGCCUCCACGAAAGCGUCCCAGCAGAGGAAGACCUGAAACUCAAACCCCUCCUCCACCACCUCCUCCUCCGCAGUUCGAUCCGGUGUUGUUCCAAGCGGCUGUGACUGCGGCUGUAACAGCAGCCAUGGCCCAAAUGAACUCGGGUGAUGCGAGCGGUGGAAAUUCUAGAUUUGGUGAAGUCCACCAACGAGUGCAGGGAUGCACUUAUAAGGACUUCAUGAAUUGUAAACCUGCUUUCUUUGAUGGGACCGGAGGAAUUCUGGCAUUGUCCCAAUGGUUCGAAAGAACCGAAGCUGUAUUCGAAAUGUGCUCUUGUCCCGAAGAGAGCAAAAUCAAGUUCGCUACUGCUACCCUCACUAACAGGGCUUUGUCAUGGUGGAACGGCCAUGUCAACGCACUCUCCUUGGUCACAGCCAAUGCCAUGGGCUGGGACACUCUAAAAGAUCUUAUGAGAGGAGAGUACUGCCCUAGGGGCGAAGUUCAGAAGCUUGAGGAAGAACUCUGGAACCUCAAGAUGAAGGGGACCGACAUAACGGCUUAUACGGCCAGGUUUUGCGACUUGGCGGCUAUGUGUCCCAACAUGAUCCCCUCUGAAAGCAAGAAGAUUGAACGUUACAUCUGGGGUUUAGUGCCCCCGUAUCGAGGAAAUGUUCUGGCUUCACGCCCUACCACUUUCGACAGCGCCAAGGAAUUGGCCCAGAGUCUGAUCAACCACGAAAUCUCCUCCACUCCAGCAACAACAACCACUGCACCAUCCGGAUCAUCUGAUAGAAAAAGGAAACGAUGGGAUAAGAAGAAAGGCAAGAAAACUCAAACCGCCUCCAAGGACCAACAAAUUGUGGCAGUCCAUGCUGCUACCACCCCAACCACACCAGCUGCUCCAGCCCCACCAAAAGCUUACAGUGGAAACUUGCCUAAGUGUCCCAAGUGCCCUUUCCACCACAACGGCCCUUGCCGUGAAUUGCAGUGUUCCAACUGCGGCCGGAAGGGCCAUACUGUCCGAUUUUGCAAGGCCCCUCCCAAACCUAUUACACAGGUUCCUGGUACGGGAGUGACCCCAACUUGUUAUGGCUGCGGUGAAGCGGGCCAUUUUAAGAAGAACUGUCCGAAGGCUGCAAAUGCUGGGGGAACUGGAAGGUUACUUGCUAUCGGUCACAAUGAAGCAGUAGCUGAUCCCACGGUGGUCACGGGUACGUUUCUUCUCAACAACUCUUAUGCCUGUGUCUUAUUCGAUAGUGGUGCAGAAAGAAGCUUCAUAAAUCAAAACUUUAAACACUUACUCAAACAAACCCCUCAACCACUAAAAGAAACAUUCGUCGUAGAAAUGGCUAAUGGGAAGACAGAAAGCUCUAAUGAAAUCUAUAUAGGUUGUACUCUCACGUUAGAUGAUCACCCCUUUUUAAUCGAUCUUAUACCAGUCUCAAUCAAAAAUUUCGAUGUCAUUGUUGGUAUGGAUUGGCUAAGCCUUCACUACGCCGACAUCCUAUGUUCCGAGAAAGCCAUUCGCCUGAACUUUCCGAAUCGAGAGACCCUAGUGAUAUACGGAGAUAAGCCAAGUACAAACCUUCGUAUCAUCUCUAGUAUUCAGGCUCAGAAAUACUUGCGCAAGGAAUAUCGCGCCUUUCUUGCUCACGUCGUCGACACUAACCAGAAAUCGAAAGAUCCAAAAGACAUUCCUGUAGUAUGCGAUUUUCCUGAUGUCUUUCCGGAGGAUCUCCCAGGCCUACCUCCUAAACGACAGGUUGAAUUCAGAAUCGACCUAAUCCCAGGAGCUACCCCCGUAGCUAAGUCGCCCUACCGCCUAGCGCCCGCCGAAAUGCAAGAACUAUCCGGUCAACUCAACGAACUGCUUAGCAAGGGCUUCAUAAGACCGAGCUUCUCACCUUGGGGAGCUCCGGUCUUGUUCGUGAAGAAAAAGGAUGGGUCGUUUCGGAUGUGCAUCGAUUAUAGGGAACUCAAUAAACUCACGAUCAAAAAUCGCUAUCCUCUCCCUCGUAUCGACGACCUAUUCGACCAACUCCAAGGAGCCAGUUACUUCUCCAAGAUUGAUCUUAGAUCGGGGUAUCAUCAGUUACGGGUGCUUGAGGAAGAUGUUCCAAAGACAGCUUUCCGAACCCGCUACGGGCAUUUCGAGUUCGUAGUGAUGCCCUUUGGACUGACUAACGCCCCCGCAGUAUUCAUGGACUUGAUGAAUAGGGUGUGUCGUCCAUAUCUAGAUCAGUUCGUCAUCGUCUUUAUUGACGACAUUCUUGUCUACUCUCGGAGCGAGGAAGAGCACAGAAGCCAUUUACGAUUAGUCCUGGAAACCCUGCGAUCCGAGAAGUUGUAUGCGAAGUUCUCUAAGUGCGAGUUUUGGAUCCGGAGAGUUGAAUUCUUAGGGCACGUGGUCAGUGAAGACGGAAUCCACGUGGACCCCUCCAAAAUCAAAGCUAUUGAGAACUGGUCAGCACCAAAGACGCCUACGGAAAUUCGUCAAUUUCUAGGCCUCGCUGGCUACUACCGUCGGUUCAUCCAAAAUUUCUCUCGGAUUGCGAAACCUCUCACCAUGCUAACACAGAAGGGUGUAUCAUUCGACUGGGAAGAGAAACAGGAGAAGGCAUUUCAGACCCUGAAGCGAGCCCUAUGCACCGCACCAGUAUUAUCCCUUCCCGAAGGGACAGAAGAUUUUGUUGUAUACUGUGAUGCAUCCAAUCAGGGGCUCGGUUGUGUCUUGAUGCAACGAGGCAAGGUUAUCGCCUAUGCCUCGAGACAGCUAAAGAACCAUGAAGUGAACUACACUACUCACGACCUCGAGUUAGGAGCGGUCGUCUUCGCACUAAAAAUCUGGAGACACUACUUGUAUGGGACGAAGAGCGUGGUGUACACUGAUCAUAAAAGCCUCCAACAUAUACUGAACCAAAAAGAACUCAACAUGAGACAGCGUCGAUGGGUCGAAUUACUUAACGAUUACGACUGUGAAAUUAGAUAUCAUCCGGGGAAAGCCAACGUAGUAGCAGACGCCCUGAGCAGAAAAGAAUAUUCCGGACGAAGGACCAAGUCGUUGACAAUGACUAUACAUUCACAUCUAUCCACGCAGAUCAAAGAGGCUCAGCUGGAAGCUUUAAAGCCUGGAAACGUGACGGGAGAAUCCCUGCGCGGAAUGGAUAAAAAUCUGGAGGUUAAGGGUGACGGAGCCUAUUACUUUAUGGACCGAAUCUGGACUCCACGCCAUGGAGGUUUCAGAGAUUUGGUUAUGAGGGAAGCACACAACACUCGUUACUCCGUCCACCCGGGUUCAGAUAAGAUGUAUCUGGAUCUCAAAAAGCUAUACUGGUGGCCGAACAUGAAAGCGGAGAUCGCUACCUUUGUAAGUAAGUGCCUUACUUGCGCGAAGGUCAAAGUAGAAUGUCAAAAGCCAUCAGGACUCCUCCAACAACCAGAAAUACCAGAAUGGAAGUGGGAGCGAAUCACAAUGGACUUCAUCACCAAGCUGCCCAAGACAGCAGGUGGAUUAGAUACCAUUUGGGUCAUCGUUGACAGGUUGACCAAGUCCGCCCACUUCCUACCCAUCAAAGAGACGGAUAAGAUGGAAAAGCUCACUAGGACUUAUAUAAAAGAAAUAGUGCGAUUGCAUGGCGUCCCUAUAUCUAUUAUAUCAGACAGAGAUAGUAGAUUCACCUCUAGAUUUUGGCAAUCAUUACAAAAGGCACUAGGGACGAGGCUGGAUAUGAGUACAGCCUACCAUCCGCAGACUGACGGACAAAGUGAGAGGACGAUCCAAACAUUAGAAGACAUGCUGCGAGCUUGUGUGAUCGACUUCGGGAAAUCGUGGGAUACACACUUACCUCUUGUGGAGUUUUCCUACAACAAUAGUUAUCACACGAGCAUCAAGGCAGCUCCAUUCGAAGCUCUCUACGGCCGAAAGUGCAGAUCCCCUUUGUGCUGGGCCGAGGUGGGAGACACUCAGUUAGCUAAAGGACGAGUUCCUGAUAGCGCCCUCACUGGUCCAGAGAUCAUUCGAGAGACGACCGAGAAGAUUGUACAGAUACGUGAACGACUAAAAGCCGCUAGGGAUCGACAGAAGAGCUACGCCGACAAACGAAGGAAACCCUUGGAAUUCCAGGUCGGAGACCGGGUCCUUCUGAAGGUCUCGCCCUGGAAAGGCACGAUACGCUUCGGGAAGCGUGGAAAGUUAAACCCAAGGUACAUAGGGCCUUUUGAGAUUCUUGCCAGAAUCGGCCCUGUAGCUUACAAACUAAACUUACCCCGCGAGCUAAGUAACAUACAUCCUACCUUCCACGUCUCAAACUUGAAGAAAUGUCUGUCUGACGAGACUCUCGUGAUUCCCCUCGACGAGAUCGAGAUCAAUGAGAGCCUCAACUUCGUGGAAGAACCUGCUGAGGUUUUGGAUCGUGAAGUAAAACGGACGAAACAAAGCCGCAUCCCAAUUGUGAAGGUUCGGUGGAACGCCAAGCGAGGACCGGAAUUCACUUGGGAGCGCGAGGAUCAAAUGAAACUCAAAUACCCUCAUCUCUUCGCUUAGUAGUAUUGUAAUAUCGUAUCUGUUUGUAUUCUAAAUUUCGGGACGAAAUUCCCCUAACGGGGGGAUGAUGUGACAACCCCAAAUCUAAUUCCGUUAAAAAUCCCAUUUUCACUAACGGAACGUGUCACUAUACGUUAUUUUAUGUAAUAUUUGGAAUCGUCAAUAUCCGAAUAUCUAAAUUUAUGCAUGGCUUAAUAUUAUCAUAAGAAAUAUAACUCGUAUGUGUUAACCCCGUUUAACCUAAUAGAGUUGUAUUACCUUUUCAACCACUUCACCCGGGUAAAAAGUUUUAACCCAGUUAACUUUAAACAUCGGGUAGCCGUGUAUCGGGUGCGAUUCCCGAGACAUAUGCAAUGGGUGUGCACAACAUUUGAACACUCAUUUACUACACACCCACUCUCUCUCUCUACUUUCUCUCUCUAGACUCGAAAUCGACCCCGAUUCCGCUAAUUUCCGACUUCCAAACGUAAGUACUCAUCCUCUAUCUUAUUCUAGUCAUGCUUCAUUGAAUUUGAGGGCCAAAAAUCAUAGGAAUCAAGGUUCAAAGAGGAGUUUACGGCCUAAGAAGCUCCUUAGGCCGUAAACCCCCAAAACCAAGCCAAAGACCAAGUUUUUCCUUCUUGUAUGUUAGUAUACUAAUUAAGGCUUAUAACUAGAAGAGUUUGGACAUUAAAACACAAGAAAAUGAUGCUUAAAAAGGAGUUUACGGCCCAAGCAUGUGCUUAGGCCGUAAACACCUCAAACACCCCACAAAUCCAUGUUUUAAGCCCCAAAAACACUUCUAGGAUGUUUGGUAAAUUAGACUUGACUCCAAGGAACACUUAAAUGCAUCAAACAACUCCAUUUGAGGCCAAAAAGAGGAGUUUACGGCCUAGCUUAAGCUUGGGCCGUAAACACCCAAGAAAUUGUGUCAAACAAGUCCUUAAACUACCCUAAUGCAUGAAAGGAAUUUAUCUAAGGCCUAUGGAAGUGUGUUGUACCAUUAAACACUUCAUUUUGACACCAAAUGAAGAGUUUACGGCCAAGGAUGUUCUUGGGCCGUAAACUCCCCAUAAAUAUGUGCCAAAUUGCUCCAAACUCACUAUAGGACCUUCUAGGAUUUUUCUAAGCCAUUUGGGACCAUGUUGUACAAGUAAAACCAUCACCUUAAAGGACUUAUAGGAGUUUACGGCCCAAGAACAAGUCUUGGCCGUAAACUCCCCUAAAAUAUCACAAAUUUAGAUGUUUAAUCCUUCCCUCUUGGUCCAAAACACACACCACUAAAUCAAGGAAGUGAGAUAAGGCCUUAAACACACAUUUUGGAGUGUCACAAGAGUUUACGGCCAAGCCUAGGGGGCUUACGGCCGUAAACUCCCAAUGAAUGGCUUUUAGGCCAUAAACUCUAAGAGAAUAAACUCUAGGACCCUCCCGUAAAUCAUCCAUGGCCUUGUACCACUCCCGGGAACCCUUUCUAGGCCUUAAAACCCCGAAAACGACACUAGAAUGUCCAAAUACUAUAAUGAAAAGCAUAAGAUGAUUAACUUCUUGUAAAAUACAUAUUUCAUAUGACAUUAGGGUCCUAAAAGGUGCUCAAGUGGUUAUUUGGUACCAAACGCUCAAUCGACACUAUUACCCGAUUUACCCGAUUCACCCGAUUUCCGCGAUUUCAGGUGAGUUCAUACCCCUUUAAUGAACCUUUCAAGUGUUUUACAUGUUUUAGGGGGGAGAUACAAGUUGCUUAUAAAUGUUUAUGCAAAGUUUUACAGAACGAUUUCCGAGUUACAAGGGUUAAUCGCAUGUGAUUCACUACUCUUAGUUCAAAUCACAUGUGAUUUGCCCCUAUGCCUUAAAAACGGGUUUUACCCUUUUCAAACUAUUUUUAAACAGUGAAUCAGAAUUCAAAUGUUCUUUUGGAAAAAUACUUUUAUUAAAUCAAUUUGCUUAUAAAAUGUAACCACUCUGAUAUAUUUAUAUAAAUAAGAUUUGGAGGACUUAGGACCGAUAUCUCGCCUUAUUUCCUGUUCUUGUUUGAUUGUGGGCUUAGGGUAGUAGUUAUCCGUCCGACUGUCGUUGAUUUCUUACUUAUAUAAAAUCUGUAUAUCAGCAUGGGAUACGAAUAUUUCUGCUCCCACUAAAUGCUAAAGUCACUAACGUGCUAAGAAACACCCCCACUAAGAUAACCAUAAUAGGUAUGGUUAGGGUCGCUACCGCUACUACUCGCUAAAGUUAUUACUAUCUACACUAUAAUACUCACUAAUACUAGACGAUACACUAGUAAGAGAAUACACUAUGAUCAAUACUAAAAGAUUACUACACUAUGACCAUAGAGAAAACAUUAAACAAACAAUAAUACACUAACCCGCUACGAGAUACUCUAUUCGCUAUUCACUACGCCCAGAGUGUUCCAGCAGGAGACGACUCUACAUGUAUAGAUCUAUACGGGGGCAGACGCUAUUACAUCCCGACUGUUAACUCAGUCCGCGCCGUACAGGCCCAGGGAUGCCACUACUUCACUACACUGUGCAUGACCGGGAAGGUCAUGGGAUUCUCUAUUAUUCUCACUAUUGGUAAAUUACAAGGAAUACCCUACAACUACACUAAAACACUACACUAAAUGUUAAACCACAUCCCGAAGUAAGCAAGUAUCUAUCACUAAAGGAAGCUCGUACCUCUAUCAUGGAUCACGGGCUUAACUUAUCUUGACAUAUUUGUUAUUUGAAGAUUGGCCAAAGAAUCUUUGCAAUAAAUUGUUUUCAAAGAGAUAAAGAAUGUACACUUUUCACAGAUUGUCACUUACAAUGUAUUUCCUGGAAAAUAUGAGAUUUUUCUGAAUUUCUACUACUUAUGAACAUAAAGGAUACAUUUUUAAUACUAAUGCUUUGUAUACAAAAACUCACACUAAACUCUUAUGAACUCACCAGCUUUAUGCUGAUAAUUGUUUUCAAAAUAACUUGUAUCUUCAGGUCAAAGAUAGACAGGUACAGACGCAGCAUUUUUGGAGAAGGUGGAGCACACAAGACCCAUCUCUUAUUUUCGAAUUACUUUUGAGUGAUUGUUAAACAUUACAAAACACGCAUGUAAUUAAAUUCACUAUGUAAUACUAUGGUUGUUUGAUUCUUGUUUCUACUAUUAUACAAUUGUGAUGAUACUGUUCACUACGUCAUCCACCCCGAAACGUAUUCCGCCGUUAUCGGUUUUGGGGUGUGACAGCAGGAAAGCAUACCAUUCAUACCAAUUGCCUUGAACACAUUCAUGAGAGAUCUGAGAGAAACCAUGAAACCCUGCUGCAAGCCUUAAGCUCGAGCCGAAGUCAUAGAGCUCCGAGUACGUCAGAGGGUGUGCGAAAGAUACCUACUUGAUAUGGAUCGUCAACUAGCUGAAAUAAGGGUUCACCAUAGGGGUGACUGUCGCCAUUAGGAGAUACUUUACUUUCCUUCUUUGUUAUAAAGAACUGUGUUCCUGUCUAUGUUCUAUGUAGCACUUUCCUAUGUGACUACCUUGUACUGUAAGUACUUUUAGAUAGACCUUUAUGCUGUCAAGGACUUUUUCUACUCCAGAUGUGAUGUAAGACCUACUGUAGGGUCAAUUUUCCCGAACUUGUUACAUCUUAAACAUCAAUGAUAUUGGCAGUCGGCUAACUUAUGUGUCACUCUUUUGUUCAAAUGCUUUCAUCAAACCUUCAUUGGAGUCUAUCUGAAACAUGCUUUAGUCAAGUCAUUGGACUAAAUUAAUUUAACUCCGGAGACAUUUCCAUGUCUCUUUUAGUGGUUGGAUCAUGUUAUUCACCAACCAACGAUACCUCGGCUUGAACGACAAACGUCUUGAGACCAUUGUACGAACUUACUUCUACUCCUUACUAAGGACUGCAUCAUAGGGAUGUAGGUCGAACCUUCAUAAUCAUACUUCCAUUCCGUACUAGGACUGCAUCAUAGGGAUGUAGGUCAACCCUUCGUGAACAUACUUCCAUUCCGUACUAGGAUUGCAUCAUAGGGAUGUAGGUCAAACCUUCAAGAUCAUACUCUUUUUCAUUGAACGAUCGACGUACAUCCAGGGUCAAUAGUAGCCUUUACUAGGAAAUCUUAGUUCAUCGAAAGAGAUUCGUAAGAAGAUUAUUAUUAUGACUUUCCUCGCUUAUACAUUCCCGAGUUAUAUAUAACAAAGACCUGGUAGACAAUAGAAUGUGAGAUUUCUAACUUAGUUUCUUUUCCUCGUUGGGAUGUGGGACUAGAGUAGAAUCACACAUUUUAUUAUCCGCCCCGUCUUGGUUAUAAUAUAACGUGUAUAAGCUAAGUUUUCAUGUAUAAUAACUCCUCUCUUGGCCAGAAUCAAAAUGAUACAAGAACCGUCCGGACAGUUUAACGACAACUCAACAACAGAAUGAAAAGACCAAGCUUCUCACCUUUGGGAGCUCUGGUCUUAUUCUUCAAGAAGACAAAAUUCAGGGGUGCGAUCAUACCAGCACUAAUGCACCGGAUCCCUUCAGAACUCCGCAGUUAAGCAUGCAUGGGCGAGAGUAGUACUAGUAUUGAUAACAUUUGGGAAGUCCUCGUGGUGCAGACCUCAACAGGACUUCCAUUAGAAAUCAUCACUCUCUACCUCGCAUAGAUGAAUCAGUUCACCAACCGCAAGGAAUGAUGUACCUUUCAGAAAUAAACCUAAGAUUCGAAUAUCACCAGUUACGAGUGUGAGUGAAGGGUGUCCCGAGGACAAUCUUCCAAACUCGAUGCGGACGCUACGAGUCCGUAGUGAUGCCCCUCGGAUACGACGAAUACGCCCAUAGUAUUCAUGAACUUAAUGAAUAGGGUACACCAUUCUUACUUGGAUCAGUUCGUCACUGUCCUUGUAAAUGACUUACUUAUCUACUCUCGUAGUAAGAAGGAAAUCAUAAAGAGCAUCUACAACAAACCAUGGAAACAUUACGAUCAGAAGAGCCUUAUGCAAAAUUCUUUAAAUACGAGUUUUUGAAUUGAAGAGUCGAAUUCCUAGGACACACUAUUACUGAUGUGGAAAUUCUUGAGGACCCCUCCAAAAAUCGAAACAGUUGAGAAUUUGUCAGCAUCGAAGACGCCGACGGGAAUUCGCCAAAUUCUGAGUCUCGUUGACCUACUGUCGAGAGUUCAUUCCGAACUCCUCGCGGAUUACGAAACCUAUUAUGACUUUGACUCAGAAGGGAGUGGCCCUUGACUGGGAAGACAAGCAAGAGGAAGAAAACCUUGGAAUUUCAAGUGAUAGGCCAAAUCCUUUUGGAAGUCUCACUAUGGGAAGGCUUGAUACGCUUUGGAAAGCGUGGUAAGCUAAAUCCAAAAUAGUUAGGACCUCCGAAGUUCUUGCCAGAAUCGGUCCUGUAACUCACAAACCCAACCUACCCCGCGAACUCAGUAACGCACAUCUUACCCUUCACGUCUCGAACUUGAAAACGUACCUUUUCGUCAGGACUCUCCUAAUCCCACUCGACGGGAUCGAGAUUAACGAGAGCCUCGUCUUUGUGGAAGAACCGUAGUGACCACUGACCGAGAGGUCAAGUGGACGAAGCAACGCCGCGUCCCAUGAGCGAAGGUUCGCGGGAAUGCCAACCGGGGACCUGAAUUCACUUGGGAGCGCGAGAAUCAAUCGAUUAGGAAGUUUCCCCACCUCCUUGCUCGAUUUUUCAUGCCUACUUCCUUACCUAAAUUCUAAUUUCGGGACGAAAUUCCCUCUAACGGGGGGAUGAUGUGACAACCCGAAAUUUUCCAACCAGUACAGUCAAACACUUCAUUAAAAGUCAAACUCAUUUAUGCUAUCUUUUAGCACAAUUAGGAGUUUAUUUGAGCAUUCUGAGCCUUAUACAAUUAAGGGAUAAGUGUCGGGGUUAAUCUGCUGAAGCUAUAGCACAAAGUUCGAGCCUUAAACACAUUGAUCUGGAGUUCACGGCCACCACAUGGGAGUUUACGGCCGUAAACUCCAUGUGGGUCGUAAACUCCAUCCUAUAUAAUGAUAUGUUGACCAUUAUUUCAUUCUUUCAUUUCCAUUGGCUGAUUUCCUCCCAAAUCUUCUCAACUAUCAUCCCGAUCUUCGUCCCCGAUCUUCAAAUUUCGUAAGCUUAUUGCCUUAACUAGUUGAUAUAUUGCAUGAACUAGUAAUAUUACAUGAUUUCAUCCGUCAAAUCAUUCCAUUUUGUAGAUCUUCAACUUUCACCAAGAACACCAAGAACAUACACUAGUGUUCUUGGCCAAAACCAACCAUUCAAGCUCCUAGAUCAUAAGUACUCUUGAUCCAACUCAUUGUACACUAGGUUUAUCAUAUUUACAGCUUAGAAAACAUAAGAAAUCAUGGGAUUUAAGUAGUUUACGUCCAAGGCAUGUUCUUGGGCCGUAAACCCCUUUUAAGGGUGCAAAUGACACCCUAACACUUUAGUGAGCCUUGGAUAUUAACAUAGAACCUUACACCAUUGAACUAAGGACUUCAUUGCACGAAAUGGUACUCCUUACCAUGAGUUUACGGCCAUAAACUCAUGGGGGAGUGGUCCCAGGGCCAUGAACACCAUACAAGGUCAUUUUAGGACCUUAAACGCACCUAAACACUUGUUUAAAGCUUUGGAGCACUUAACCACUAAAGCCCUUAGAGUUUUAAGCCCCUUUUGGUGACCAACUGAGAGUUUAUGGCUAGGAGUAAACUCCCCUUGGCCGUAAACUCCAACAAACAUGGUCAUUGGACCAUAGACUCCCAUAUGAGGCCUUACACUCCUUUGUUGCAACCCGAUAGCCUCCUAGCACUUGACCAAAGUGUUUUCCUCGCAAUAGGAUGUUUAUACAUGUUUAAUUAGUGUUAUAAUCAAUAAUUGGUUAUAUACAUAUGCCUUCAUAUGUAAUUAGGAUCAUUGUAUGUGUCUAAGUCUUCACUUGACACCAAGAACUUGUUCGAUACUUCCUUCCGAUCCGCUCACUGCAGGUGAGGUCAUACCCCUUGAAUUAACCUUUUAAAUGUUUCUACAUGUUUUUAAAUGCUUUAUGGGGGGAAUACAAGUUGAAUCAUGUUAGUUAUUAUAUCAAUCACAUGUGAUUAAUAACUAACAUGCAAAUGGAUUUACUAUACGUUAACCGUUUUACCAAACAGAUUUCUUCAAAUGAUUUUCGUAAACAUUUUAUAUGAUGAAAACUCUUUAUUAAAUUGUUUACUAUACACUGUAUGUUUCAUUUCAAACUCUUUUACAAUUGUGUUUCAAACAAAGGUUUCUUUAUACUUAAACUGUUUUAUCAAACAAAUACUUUCAAACCGUUUUAUAAACUGACAUCAAGUCGAUAUUUUCUUAGAUAUUAAUCAUUUUCAAAGGUUUUACAAAACUUCUUUUAUGCUUUUAUAUUAUCAAAUGCAUGCCCAUAUAUGUAUAGUUAUAUAAGUAAUGUUUAAAGGACUUAGGAAGACUAACUCACUCUGUUUCCUUUUCCUCGUUGGGAUGUGGCUAUGGGGUAUCGGUUAUCCGUCUGAAUGUCGUCUAAAUAUUAGUUAUAUAUCAUGUAUACAUAUGUACACAUAAAAGUUUUCCUUUCAGUCAGUUCAGUACCUUUGAGUAGCAAAGGCAUACUUCAGGUUAUACACGUAUAUUGUUAGUAACUAUUAUAAGUACACUUAGGAGAUACUACUUACUAUUCCAUGUACAAGGAAUCACACAAGGGUCAGCUCAUUCAUGUGUCUAUACUAAUACAUUACAUGUUGUAUGAGUACGUUUACAUAGAUACGCUUACAUGAGUACGUUUACAUAGAUAUGCUUACAUGAGUACGUUUACAUAGAUACCGUGUUAAAAGCAUGCCUGUAUAUGUAUAGUUAUAUAAGUAAUGUUUAAAGGACUUAGGAAGGCUAACCCGCUCUAUUUCCUUUUCCUCGUUGGGAUGUGGUCUGGUGGGUGUUGGGUAUCCGUCCGAAGGUCGUUUAGAUAUUUAGUUAUAUAUCAUGUGUACAUAUAUGGACAUAAUAGUUCCUUUCAGUCAGUUGAUUACCUUUGGGUAGCAAAGGUAUACGUUCAUAUAUCCCUAGUUGGAUACUUUUACAUGGAUACCGUUACGUAGAUACUAUACGAUGAGUUACUAUUACAUAUUAUAUGUAUAGAUACUGUUAUAUAAUUCUCCUUCUUAUCUUUAUUUUGUGAUACAAUCACAUAAUCUACGAGAUAGAUUGGACUUAAUAUCCUAGUACCAAAGGAUACAUUGCGGGACUAACCAUUCCUGGAAUCUCUAUUAGCUACAGAGGUAAAUGCACAUCCACGGAUGUCUACGGUUGAUACCAGUAUAGGUAUACUUUAAGGGACUAACUAUUCCUACACCCAGCUGUUAGCUACUGAGGUAAAUGUACAUCUACGGAUGUCUUCAGUUAACACUGUUAGUUAUGCUAGUACAAAAGGAUAAUACUUAAGCUAUUUAUAUUAUUACCUUUAUCUUGUGACACAUUCACAUAACCGAUGAGGUGAAUUAUAUUUGAGUAUCCUAGUACCUAAGGAUACAAUUUCUUAUAUUAAUAAUAAUAGUAGUA